rnacentral:rRNA from 1 species
CCAAUAGCGUAUAUUAAAGUUGUUGCAGUUAAAAAGCUCGUAGUUGAACUUCGGGGUCUACCCAUUGGUCAGGCUUAAUUGUCUGCACUGGUGAGAUGGAUCUCUACCUUCUGAGGAACUUUCAUGCCAUUUAUUUGGUGUGAUAGGAAAUCAGGACUGUUACUUUGAAAAAAUUAGAGUGUUUAAAGCAGACUAUCGUC